UGGGUUUAAAGGGAGCGUAGAUGAAUGUUUUAAGUCAGUUGUGAAAGUUUGCGGCUCAACCGUAAAAUUGCAGUUGAUACUGGAUAUCUUGAGUGCAGUUGAGGCAGGCGGAAUUCGUGGUGUAGCGGUGAAAUGCUUAGAUAUCACGAAGAACUCCGAUUGCGAAGGCAGCCUGCUAAGCUGCAACUGACAUUGAGGCUCGAAAGUGUGGGUAUCAAACAGGAUUAGAUACCCUGGUAGUCCACACGGUAAACGAUGAAUACUCGCUGUUUGCGAUAUACUGCAAGCGGCCAAGCGAAAGCGUUAAGUAUUCCACCUGGGGAGUACGCCGGCAACGGUGAAACUCAAAGGAAUUGACGGGGGCCCGCACAAGCGGAGGAACAUGUGGUUUAAUUCGAUGAUACGCGAGGAACCUUACCCGGGCUUAAAUUGCAGAUGAAUUACGGUGAAAGCCGUAAGCCGCAAGGCAUCUGUGAAGGUGCUGCAUGGUUGUCGUCAGCUCGUGCCGUGAGGUGUCGGCUUAAGUGCCAUAACGAGCGCAACCCUUGUUGUCAGUUACUAACAGGUUCCGCUGAGGACUCUGACAAGACUGCCAUCGUAAGAUGUGAGGAAGGUGGGGAUGACGUCAAAUCAGCACGGCCCUUACGUCCGGGGCUACACACGUGUUACAAUGGGGGGUACAGAGGGCCGCUACCACGCGAGUGGAUGCCAAUCCCCAAAACCUCUCUCAGUUCGGACUGGAGUCUGCAACCCGACUCCACGAAGCUGGAUUCGCUAGUAAUCGCGCAUCAGCCACGGCGCGGUGAAUACGUUCCCGGGUUUUGUACACACCGCCCGUCAAGCCAUGGGAGCCGGGGGUACCUGAAGUGCGUAACCGCGAGGAGCGCCCUAGGGUAAAACUGGUGACUGGGGCUAAGUCGUAACAAGGUAGCC
rnacentral:rRNA from 1 species